UUGUGUUAAUAAUGAGUACUCUGUCUCUAGAAAAGGCUUUUUUGUAGAGUCUGCCCCCAGCCUCUGCUUUGUAGCAAGCUACAGGGAAAAUAACAAAUUCAGUCUUCAAGGGUCCUGGACCUCAAAGGGAGAAAUAAGUAGGUAACAACUCUACUUUCACUUGUGUUUUGCAGACUAUAUUUUUUAUAAAUGGGGUUGUUUAUUUUAAUUUUAAGUGGCAUUAGUUCAUCCCUGUUUUGUUGAGGGAAAAUAAAGAAAUAUCUGCACAGAGUUGGAGUUAUAAUGGGGCCGUGUGACUUGAGAGGAGUCUACUAAUACGUGAUUCUCUGAUACUGGGAGCAGAUGAUCUUCGAUAACUAGCGGAUUUCUGUAUGUAUUUUUAAAAUGCAAGAAUAAGUGCUGAUAUAAAUAUUACUAUGGCUUUAUUUAAUAAACAGUGCACUGCAGUAGCAUUUCAGAGUUACUCUUGCUGUGUUCGGGUAGUUCUCUUGUAGCUCUCAAAAGCUAGGGUUUUAUGCUCCUUUAGCUAUAUAUUUGGAAGAAGCAGAAAAUGGUUUUAUCACUUGCUUCCUACUGAGAUACUCGGUUCUUACAGUAACAAUUUUCCUUGGCUGUUGCAGUGUGUGCCAGGAGAUUGCAGAUCCUGUGUCUGUACGUAGACUUGAUACCUCAGAAACUGUCUUUUAUCCGAUAUGCCGGUAAGGCAAUUACCAUGAGUCAGAUGAACCCUCCACUCCAGGUUCCUUGUUAUGGGUCAGGCCAGAGCAAGACCUUUUCUGGUCAGGGAGCCAGUCUGUGAAUUAAUGUCAGUGAGAAUUACGGGUAAAAUCCCCAGCAAUGGCUGGUGUCCAAAAUCAGUAGCAAGACUGGUAAUUUAAAUGUCUGCCGCUCCUGGACAAAAAUAAGCUGCUUGUAUCUCGCUCUUUCUCUCAUCCUAACAAGACCAUUUUGGAUUUGUCCAAGUAAAAUCAAGAGAAUAAGUUUGAGGAGCAGGAAGAAGUGUUUCUUCCUCCUUCACUUCAGUAACUUCAUGUUUGUCCAUGUUUUUUUCCCCAGCUCCUUAAACCAGAGGAAGGAUGUCCCACUGAUCGUCUCUCAGCAGGUCACGGCAUAAGCUGCUCCCUGUUUUAUCCCUCCGAUGAGGCCGUAUACCACUCACUGCAUUCACUCUUUCCUUUGCCAGGUCACGUUUGAUUUUCUCCUCUUGAACAAGGCUCAGAACAACCCCAGCUCCUCCCUUGCCAGAGCUAGGGGCUGCUGGGCAGAGUAACACUCACAGCCCUGUGACCUCUGUGGCCGCCUCAUCUCCGCUGUGGCACCUGCGGCAGUAUCGGCCACAAAGGGAUUUUCUUUAUUGCAUUAAGCUUGCAGAGAGAAGAUUUAGUAGGUGUGUCGCAGUGCCAUUAGCCUCCUGUGACCCAGUGUCUCAGCAAAUCCUUCCAUGGCUGUGUAGAAUUUGUUUUAGUUUGAGCAAAUUCGUCUUCAUUACAGCCAUUUUGAGGGAAACUGUUCUCUCUACCCACGGGGCCAUCUUCUUAAUUCUAGGUGGCUGGACCUACUGCUGGUAUUUGAAUCAUUAUGCCAGACUUGAGUAACAUCCCAUCUGGCAAUGGGAAAUUCAAAAAUACAAUUAAUUGAAUUUCCUUAUAUCAUAUGGUUGUGAAACUUUUUUUAACAAACUUUCACACAGAAACAGAAGUUUUAUGCUUGUGGUAAUUAUGUUCAUAAAAAAAUGUUUUGGUGUGCUUAGUGCAAAAUAACAUUUCAACUUUUGGAGGACAACCACAGAAUCUAUUAAAAAAAUAAGUGUUGGCAGACACAUAGGCAAAGGAAAUCUAUCAAAGUUUGUUGAUGUUUUUCUGCAGUGCAGACCAGUUAACAAACUCUUUCCCUACGCAAACGAGCAGCAUCUCGUCACAACACUUCAAAAUCUUUAAAUAACUUAAAGGCUCUUUCCUUUGAUGUGAAGUUCACUGUGCAACACCUUGGUGCCAGGGAAGAUAGUUAAUUAUUAUCUUUAUUACAGGCGUGGCCUGAUUCAAAUAUCUGUAUAAAAUGUCUCAUCUGUGGCACACUGAUACUGCUUGAGCAUUGAGUGCCUGUUGUACGUGAAGUCACCUUCAGCUGGGGUGUGUUCAAAAUGAAGUACUGAAAAUGUUUUUCCCUCCUUCAGAUCCUAAAUGGAGCUCUGCUGAAAUAUCAUUGGAAAAGUUGGAAGAGUCUGAGCCUAGCUUGGGGAAAAAAAAAGUAAACAAAAUAGGAUUUUUAGGUGAGGUACAAGCACAAUUUGCCUGUACAAGUGGAAAAGUGAGACCUGCUAGUUUAGACCAGCAGGUUGCCUCUUGCCAAAUUCCAGAUGACAAUGACUGGAAGUGACUUGGUCUGGGUCUUUUGUUGUGAAAAUCCCUGUUUCAGCUGUGACUGCAGGGUAUUUUUUGAGGGGGGAAUUGCUCAGUCAUAGAGCCAUAGAAUGGUUUGAGUUGAAGGCAACCUUAAAGAUCAUGUAGUCCCCUGCCAUGGGGGGGACUUUCACUGUCACCUUUCACUGACCAGGUUGCUCAAAGUCCAACCAACCUGGCCAUGAACACUCCAGGGGUGGGGCAUCCACAACUCUCUGGGCAACCUGUGCCACUGCCUCACCAUACUCAGCAUAAAGAUUUUUUUUCCUACUAUAUCAUCAUGCCUGUGUUAUUGGGUCCUAAACAAAUACACAAGUGAGCUUUCUAGUUUCUGUGGAAAAAUGAUCAAAGGAAGGAAUAUCAAUGUUUUGGAUAGAUGGAUGCGCUGCAGUAGUAUCUGCUGCCCAUUAUUGAGAUCUGAGGUCCAGCCACUGCUUCUGCUUUAAGGCGUUCACAGACCUUUCAUAGACUUGACAUGCAUUAGCUAUUGGACACAAUGUGAACCCUAAGUGAAAGGAUGUACUACUGAGAUAACCUCUAAUUGCCAGAUAUGGGAAGGAUUUAAGACCUGUUCCCAGCAUUUUAUUUUUUUUUUUCUUAUAGCAAAUGCAAAACAGCUUUCCAGUUAGCUUGACAAUUUUGGGAGGGGUCUUGGGUUUCCAUUCUUCUUGUACAUUGCUUAGGAAGAAUAAGCACGUAAUUUUUUCUCUGUGAAUGCCUGUUGAUGGAAUUUAAUGUGUUUAACUGAGAUAAUCAAAGGGUCAAAUAAUUUUGUGAAUUGUUAAGUAUCAUUUCAUCUUUAGUACAGUGACAGUGGUCCCUGGGGUUGAAGAACAGUGAUUGUUAUGGUUCUUUUACCAUCUGGCUCUGUGACAAAAAUACCCGAUCUUGUGUUGCUCUACAUGAUGAAAAAAUAGAUAAAUAAAUAGGAUUUAUGAGUUUUCUUUGCAAGGCUUUUCCACAGGGCAAUUGAUUUUAUUUUAGUCUGUACAA